GGAUCCAGACUUUGAUUCUGGCUCAGGAUGAACGCUAGCGACAGGCUUAACACAUGCAAGUCGAGGGGCAUCAUGAGGUAGCAAUACCUUGAUGGCGACCGGCGCACGGGUGAGUAACGCGUAUGCAACCUGCCCGAUACCGGGGUAUAGCCCAUGGAAACGUGGAUUAACACCCCAUAGUACUUUUAUCCUGCAUGGGAUGUGAGUUAAAUGUUCAAGGUAUCGGAUGGGCAUGCGUCCUAUUAGUUAGUUGGCGGGGUAACAGCCCACCAAGACGAUGAUAGGUAGGGGUUCUGAGAGGAAGGUCCCCCACAUUGGAACUGAGACACGGUCCAAACUCCUACGGGAGGCAGCAGUGAGGAAUAUUGGUCAAUGGACGUAAGUCUGAACCAGCCAAGUCGCGUGAGGGAAGACUGCCCUAUGGGUUGUAAACCUCUUUUAUAAGGGAAGAAUAAGUUCUACGUGUAGAAUGAUGCCUGUACCUUAUGAAUAAGCAUCGGCUAACUCCGUGCCAGCAGCCGCGGUAAUACGGAGGAUGCGAGCGUUAUCCGGAUUUAUUGGGUUUAAAGGGUGCGUAGGCGGUUUAUUAAGUUAGUGGUUAAAUAUUUGAGCUAAACUCAAUUGUGCCAUUAAUACUGGUAAACUGGAGUACAGACGA
rnacentral:rRNA from 1 species